UUUUAUUGUUAUAGUGACAGGGUCUCCCUGUGUUGCUCAGGCUGGAUGGUGUUUUAUUGUUGGGUAGAAAAGCGGGCUGGACUGGGGUCCCAGCUUUGCUGUUUCCUUGCUGUGUGAUCUUAAACUAGUCAUUUCUCAUCUCCGGGCCUGUUUCCUUAUCAGUCAAAAGACAAUAAUGUGAUAGGCCCCAUCUAACUAACAAGGUUAUCUGGCAAAAUGUGUGGGGAAAACACUAGAGAAACCCAAGAGGCCUACACGGUUAUGUUGGGCAACGUGGAAAGAGAGUGACUUGCAAGAUUCUGGAGACGAGAGAAGGCUCUGAGCAAUGCUGAGGUGCCCAACAGAGGGGCGAAGACCCCAGAGGCAGAGUGAUUGAGGAAGCACUGCUGUUGCCCAAGAGAAACCCCUCCACCUCGAAGUCAUUCAACCAAAGGAAAUGGAGACAAAACCGCAAAGCACCGUUGGGCAAGACAGGGAGGUGCCAGCAAGUGGGGCAAGAGGCUCACAGCUGAGUGCCUCCUGGUAAACAGGCUGCAAAGGGGUCAUGCUGCUGGAGGUUACACGGGCGCAGCGGCGAAGAGCGCAGCGGCGAAGAAGUUUCAGGCCCCUGCCCAGCCCCACUCGCCGCGGCCAGGUAGUCCCUCCACCCUUCCUGCCCGGAAGUCCUGCUCGCUCCACCCAAGGACAGGUCGAGGCCUCCUCCCCUGGGGUAAGGAGAAGUCCGGAUGCGAAGUUUACCCUGUUGUCUACAUGCUGGAAUUUACCAUGGAAAACCAGAGUCAUGGUUUUUCCUAAGAUCAAUGGGGAAAAUGUCCAAACCCUAACAAGGGUCACCUCUGAAUGGAAUGGCCACUCAUUGCUGUCAGCAUUCUCAAAGCCGCUCUGAAGUCAUAGCCUAUGGAGGGAGAUAACCUCGGUUUGGAAGCCCUCGGGCUGGAGUUCCCUCAGCAUCAGAGGUGUCCAGGGACUCUGGGUGAAUCACUCCUCCCUAAUGGACUUGCCCUUCAACCUUGAUGAGGAUGAACACCUCAUUAAGGAACAAUAGCUCUCCCCUCACCUUAAUGCCUUACAUGGGGAUGGAGUAGCCCAGGGUCAUCCUGCCAAUCCAUUGUGAGGCUUCUCCAGCUGUCCUAGGGUGCCUCUGGCCUUGGACAGCCUUCCUGUUCUUCCUCCUCUGGGGCCCACAGUCUUGAUGAGUGUGGCUUACUGGACCCCCACCAUUCUUCAGUGCAGACUCUCAUCCAGCUGGAGAAAGGAGGGGUGGGAGAAUGCCAAGGCCCAAGCCCACUUUCUCUGCUGUGCCCACUGUCACAUCUUCACUGUGUGUGGUAAGUGCCCCUGCAGGACAGGGCCUGCUGUACCAAUCGUUCAUCAAGGCAGGAGAGAGAGAGAGACUGACAUCUGGGGUAUAGGCUUUUAACUACCUCAUUCUGGAAGUGACAUAUGUCACUUUCACUGCCAUAUCAUUGGCCAGCCCUAACCACAGGCCCACCCGAAGGCAAGGAUACAGGGG
rnacentral:lncRNA from 10 species